AAUAAUUCAAGUUUGAUUAUUUUUAUUGAUCGAAUCUAAUAUAUGCAGGUCAAGUCAAAUUAAUUUAGGAUGGUCUCUGAACCCAAAUUGCAUGACCCCGCAAAUCAAGACCCUCUCAGAUUCUAAUUUAGCCAACUCCCUUGUUUCUUUCCCACAUUUGGCUCAACAAAACUUCCCUGCGUCAUAUCUUAGUCACCUAAUUUCCCACACAUUCGAACCAUGUUACCAGCCGAAUAGGAUUAAUUCCCCUGCUUCAAACAGUUCAAUUUCCAUCUUUCCAGCCAAGCCAAAUUAGGAUCUUCAAACCAAACAAGCCACGUCAUUCUCAUCUACGAGUCAUCUCCCUUACUUCACACUCGCAUAGGAUCCCCUGUGCCCGUCCAAAGAACCCCACGCUUUCUCCCAACAUUCUGGAUUAACUUCACCACCCACAGGAUAAGUUCCAACCUCAUAUCCCAGCUUCCGAUAAAUUCCCUCAGCGAAACAAAUUCAACAAAUCUUAGCAUCCCGUCU
rnacentral:lncRNA from 1 species